CCUACGGGAGGCAGCAGUAGGGAAUGUUCGGCAAUGGGGGGAACCCUGACCGAGCAACGCCGCGUGAACGAAGAAGGUAUUCGGAAUGUAAAGUUCUUGUAACAGGGAAGAAAGAGAAAGUGGACGGUACCUGAAGAAUAAGCUCCGGCUAACGACGUGCCAGCAGCCGCGGUAAUACGUAGGGAGCGAGCGUUAUCCGGAAUUAUUGGGCGGAAAGGGUGCGUAGAUGGCAGAGGAAGUCUUUUGUAAAAAUGCUGGGCUCAACCCAGUAGGGCAAAAGAUACUGCAAAGCUAGAGUAUGCCAGAGGCAAGUGGAACUACAUGUGUAGCGGUCAAAUGCGUACCUAUAUGUCAGCACCCCAGUGGCGAAGGCGGCUUGCUGGGUCGAUACUGACAUUGAGGCACGAAAGCGUGGGGAGCAAACAGGAUUAGAUACCCUUGUAGUC
rnacentral:rRNA from 1 species